rnacentral:rRNA from 1 species
CAGUAGGGUGCCUUCAAAAGGUGUAUUUGGAAAUAUCCCUAAUACAG